rnacentral:lncRNA from 1 species
AUUUUCUCCUGCAAAUAAUUCUUACUUCUUUCUCUCAGACAUGGAAAACGAAUCCGGUCACAAAGUUAUAUAUUUUGACAUUACAAAGAAGGGCGAAGAAGAAGUUGCAUGCCAGAACCCGCUCGUGUCCUCCAUAGUUGAAAUCAUGUAUGUCUUUUCUUGUCAAUCUUGGCUUCACUACACCAAAUUCGAAGACGGCGAACAAGUUGUAACAGAAAUUCCGAAGCGAAAAAUUUGGAAAUAUGUAUACUUGGAACCUCAACGAUCCUUGUCCUAUAGGAAGAUGCGUAAAAUCAUCAAUGAUGCUAUUCGGGUUUGGCCAAUACGUAGUGGCACUCGUAAAAUUUUGUUCAAGGAUGUGUUUUCGAGGACACAGGCAAUGGUAGAAUCAAUUUCUCUAGGACAUUAUGUUUUACAUAUUGAUGUUGAGAUAAACGUGAUUUAUUAUCAUGUUAUAUUUAGUGAAUCACGAAGAUUGCCGCCGUCAGUAGAAGAAAACAAUGAUUAUGAUAUGGUUCCAGCUAGUAAGUCGUCAAUCAAAUCACUGAAGCGGAAGAACCUAAAUGCCGAGAACAAUAAUUGUGAUUAUUGUACAAUAUGCUUGGAAAAGUUCUCCAAAAGAUCUAAAGUUACACAUAUGCCAUGCUCGCAUAUGUUUCAUGGUAAUUGCGUUAGAAAAUGGCUAAAAACGAGUCAUUAUUGUCCAGUUUGCCGUUUCGAGAUGCCAACUAGCUAGAGAUGUGUUGCAUGAUUCGACGGGGAGAUGAAUAUUUUAGGUUUAAAUAUAUAUAGUUCUUUUUCUAAUUUCAAUUUGUAAUGUUUCGAGGGUAUAUUCAAUUUAGACUUUUAAAGAAUUUUAUAUCUUUUUUAUGCGAUGAAUUUUUGUGGAAUUCUUAAAUUUAU